AUUGGACUGUACAGAAACUGGAUGUGGUCCAACUCAAGCAAAGCCUCCAACCUGCCGUGGGGGCCCGGGCAGCCUGAUGACAGUCUAAACUGUGCCACAAUAGUCGGAUCAACGGGCUCCUUCAACAGUCAUAACUGUGGUGACCAACGCCCCUUCCUCUGCUCCAGAGAUGUCAAACCUUCAGCCUCGAGGUCAGUGAAGGUUCAGCUGAGGGCGGGAUCUGCAGACCUGAACGACCCCACAGUGCAAGAAUCCAUCCUGCAGCAGCUGAGGGCGGGAUCUGCAGACCUGAACGACCCCACAGUGCAAGAAUCCAUCCUGCAGCA
ensembl:lncRNA